rnacentral:rRNA from 1 species
GACAGAGGGGGCAAGCGUUGCUCGGAAUCACUGGGCGUAAAGGGCGCGUAGGCGGGAUGGCAAGUCGGUCGUGAAAUCCUUCGGCUCAACCGAAGAACGUCGGCCGAUACUGCCGUUCUUGAGGGAUGCAGAGGAGAUUGGAAUUCCCGGUGUAGCGGUGAAAUGUGUAGAGAUCGGGAGGAACACCGGUGGCGAAGGCGGGUCUCUGGACCGGUAUUGACGCUGAUGUGCGAAAGCGUGGGGAGCAAACAGG